rnacentral:rRNA from 1 species
GACGAACGCUGGCGGCGCGCCUAACACAUGCAAGUCGAACGGAGCUGCGAGAAUUUUGCUUUUCUUACCUUAGUGGCGAACGGGUGAGUAACGCGAGUGUAACCUGCCCUGGUGUGGGAGACAACAGUUGGAAACGACUGCUAACACCGCAUAAGCCCACGAUCCGGCAUCGGAUUGAGAGAAAAGGAUUUAUUCGGUUUAGGAUGGAGUCGCGUCCAAUUAGCUAGUUGGUGAGGUAACGGCCCACCAAGGCGACGAAUGCUAGCCGGACUGAGAGAUUGAACGGCUACAUUGGGACUGCGACACGGCCGAGAAUCGUAGGGGAGGGAGGAGAGGGUGAUAUAGCAAGAGGGGGGAAAACCUGAUGAAGCGGCGCCGGGUGGAGGAAGCAGGUUUUCGGAUUGUAAACUCGUGUGGUAAGAGACGAUAAUGACGGUACCUAAUAAGAAAGCACCGGCUAACUACGUG